AUUGAACGCUGGCGGCAUGCUUUACACAUGCAAGUCGAACGGCAGCGCGGGCUUCGGCCUGGCGGCGAGUGGCCAACUGGUGAGUAAUGCAUCGGAACGUGCCCAGUAGUUGGGGCUAGCCCGGCGAAAGCCGGAUUAAUACCGCAUACCACCUGAGGGUGAACGCGGGGGACCGAAAGGCCUCGCGCUCUUGGAGCGGCCGAUGUCGGAUUAGCUAGUUGGUGGGGUAAAGGCUUACCAAGGCGACGAUCCGUAGCUGGUCUGAGAGGACGACCAGCCACACUGGGACUGAGACACGGCCCAGACUCCUACGGGAGGCAGCAGUGGGGAAUUUUGGACAAUGGGGGCAACCCUGAUCCAGCCAUGCCGCGUGCGGGAAGAAGGCCUUCGGGUUGUAAACCGCUUUUGUUCGGGAAGAAAUCCUCUGGGCUAAUACCCCGGGGGGAUGACGGUACCGGAAGAAUAAGCACCGGCUAACUACGUG
rnacentral:rRNA from 1 species